rnacentral:rRNA from 1 species
GGCUUAACACAUGCAAGUCGAGGGGUAUAGUUCUUCGGAAUUAGAGACCGGCGCACGGGUGCGUAACGCGUAUGCAAUCUACCUUUUACAGAGGGAUAGCCCAGAGAAAUUUGGAUUAAUACCUCAUAGCAUAGCAACUUCGCAUGAAGUCACUAUUAAAGUCACAACGGUAGAAGAUGAGCAUGCGUCCCAUUAGCUAGUUGGUAAGGUAACGGCUUACCAAGGCUACGAUGGGUAGGGGUCCUGAGAGGGAGAUCCCCCACACUGGUACUGAGACACGGACCAGACUCCUACGGGAGGCAGCAGUGAGGAAUAUUGGUCAAUGGACGCAAGUCUGAACCAGCCAUGCCGCGUGCAGGAUGACGGUCCUAUGGAUUGUUGACUGC